UUUUUGGUGCAUCUCAUCAGUUUGCUGAGCAUACUUCUCAGAUGUAAUGGUUUCACUGGGAUUCAGAAAGCUGUAAUGGAUCAGACUGGCAGCAAGCACCAUUUCUAAGUAAACAAGCCUUCACAGAACUCAUAUGUCUAAGUGUAUUUGAUAGAUAAAUGAAUAACAUCAAAACUAAUUCUCUGCUUAAUGGAUGUACAACUUUUCUAGCAUCUACUCAUUUGUGUGUGAAUGCACCAUAAGUGUAGGUGGUCUUCCAGUCAGUUAUACUUCAGCUGAGCAUGACAUGAGGAGUACACAACAAAACAGCCUCCUUGAGGACGCAGUAAUGGAGAACAACAAGACAGAUAAUAAUGAGGGAUUAGAACACUGCCUCAUAAAUCUACAGUGAUGCUGACAAGAUUUCAGCUUUGAGAAUGACCAACCUUUCUCUUACUCCUGAGGUGCAGUGAAAGAUGGUAGGCUAAUGGGCUUAUUUUGCCAAAGCCAUUGCCCAGGCAAUUCAUAAUUUUUAAAAGAAAGGUUUCUAUAUUGUUUUAUGUUGAUCUAUAAAAUGAUAGUGUUUUGGUCUUAAUCCAAUGUAUCCAAACUAUUCUCACUGGAUUUGGAUAAAUUAUAAAAUAAUAAUUUUAGCUAGUAAUUUGCAGAAAUUGUUACUACUACACUGGGAAUUGACAUCACUCUUUAUAAGAGUUUGGUCACAAUUAGGCUAACUCUUCAGUUCAGGGAAAACUUAUCAAUAUACUUACAACCCAAAGUACACAUAUAAAUAAAUGAAUUUAUGUUUAAAAAACAAUUGUAGCUAAUUACAAACAGAGUUCUAAACCUGAAUUUGAUUGUCCAAGGUAAGGAAAAUUUGACAAGUAGUCAGUGUUUUACAGACUAUGCUAUUAACCUAAGCAUUGCAUCUGGUUAAUUUAUACAACUAUGAUGUUGAUUUGCCAGUCAUCCAGCUAAUUUUGAUCAAUGAUAUAUUAAAAUAAAUAUGGUAGAAAACAGCCAAAGUCAAACAAUUGAGUAAUGACACUGGAAAGUAUUCAUGGAUUCUAGACUGCUUUUUGAAUAAAUAGUAAGCAAAAUUAAGACAUGAGAAAUUAUUUUAUUUUAAUACUUUAACUGAACAAAAGGUUUCAAGCUUUGAGUUGACUAAAAAUGUCUAAUCUCAAGUUAUUCAUAAAGAACUGACCAUAAAUCCAUAGAGACAGAAAGUAGAUCGGUGGUGAUGUGGGGCCACAUGUGGGACUUAGAAGUGAAUAUAUAUGGGCACAAUGUUUGUUUUUUAGGGUGUUGGAGGUAUCUAAAAUUAGAUUUUGGUAUUGUUUACACCACUCUGUUAAUGUACUGAAAAUCAUUGAAUUGUGUAUUUAAAAUGAAUAGAUAUUUUGAUGAAGUUAACAGAAGAAAUCACAGCAUUCUACUAAAGGCAUGUUGUCAUAUAAGGGAUGUUUGUGGGCCUUGAGCUCUUCUAAUAGCAGGCAUUACUUUUCAGGCUCACAGUUGGUGGAGGUUUUCUGUGAAUUGACAGGGAUUGACAGGUUAAUAUAGAGAGGAUUUGAAUGAGAACCCUUAUUCCUUAGCAUGCUUAAAGAGCAGUGAGCAACAUAUUACCUCAUUUUUAAAUAGGUGUUGGAAAGACUUUCGUUGAUCUGCUACUGAAAAUGAUGCCAAAAUAUUGAGAUUUUAUAAA
rnacentral:lncRNA from 10 species